UACGUAGGGUGCAAGCGUUGUCCGGAAUUAUUGGGCGUAAAGAGCUCGUAGGCGGUCUGUCGCGUCUGCUGUGAAAACUCAGGGCUUAACCCUGAGCUUGCAGUGGGUACGGGCAGACUAGAGUGCGGUAGGGGAGACUGGAAUUCCUGGUGUAGCGGUGAAAUGCGCAGAUAUCAGGAGGAACACCGGUGGCCGAAGGCGGGUCUC
rnacentral:rRNA from 1 species